GUCUCAUUGGUGUAAUGGCAGCACCACAGUCUUCCAAACUGUCGGUACGGGUUCGAACCCCGUAUGGGACUCCA
rnacentral:tRNA from 1 species